GGAAUAUUGCACAAUGGGCGAAAGCCUGAUGCAGCGACGCCGCGUGAGGGAUGACGGCCUUCGGGUUGUAAACCCCUUUCAGGAGGGAAGAAAUUGACGGUACCUCCAAAAGAAGCACCGGCCAACUACGUGCCAGCAGCCGCGGUAAUACGUAGGGUGCGAGCGUUAUCCGGAAUCAUUGGGCGUAAAGAGCUCGUAGGCGGUUCAGCAAGUCGGCUGUGAAAGUCUGAGGCUCAACCUCAGAAUUGCAGUCGAUACUGCUGUGACUCGAGUCCGGUAGAGGAGAACGGAAUUCCCGGUGUAGCGGUGAAAUGCGCAGAUAUCGGGAGGAACACCAGUAGCGAAGGCGGUUCUCUGGGCCGGCACUGACGCUGAGGAGCGAAAGCGUGGGGAGCAAA
rnacentral:rRNA from 1 species